GAAGGUUGUAUAAUAUCUCUCCCCAGAGAGCAGAUAACAGGAAGCAAGGUAUAUAUAUAUCACAAUCCUCAUGAAUCAAACAGAACAUUGAGAACCAUACAGAAGUGGGAAGACUUCUCACCAGCAAUGACGGGGGCUUUUUUCACUCCAUUCUUCCUUGUUUUAGGAUUUUCCCAUUGCCAGGUUUUUCAGCCUCGUCAGAUCAGUGUGAACAAAGGAGAUCCAUUCAGUAUCUACUGUUAUCAAAAUGCUACUAGCAAAGACACAAUGUUCUGGUAUAAAAAGCCCCUGGAUAAAGGAUUACAGAUUCUUGAGAGUGGAUUUGAUGGCACUAAAGCGACGGGUGCACUACUGUUCACAUUUAACUCUAAUGACAGGUCUACAGAGUUGAAGAAGACCCAGGCAGAGCCUGAAGAUGCUGCCACAUAUUACUGUGCACACUGUGAUAAUAAUGCCAAUAAACUCGUAUUUGGGAAAGGGACUCAGCUACAUGUGACACCAAAAACAACUCAAAAAACAGAUGCAUCUGUUUACCUACUCAAAUCGAAUCAGGAAUCAGAAUCAAAAUCUGUUUGUCUGGCCACGGAUUUUCCAUCUCCUGAUGGUACAAUUACAGCAUAUGUGAAUGGCAAAACACAAAACCUAACUGGUACAUUGAUGUUGGAUAGUUCUUCUGAUAACAAGUGGAGAUACGGCACUGUGUUUUGGGAUGAUACCAUGUCAGCAAACAAAUGCAAGAUUGAACAUGGAACCAAAACUGCAGAAGAAUUCCCAGGCAUUUAUUCGAACACAUGCGACUCAUCUUCAUCAACUUUUGAAACAGAUGAGAGACUAAACACAGUGUCCUUUGAAGUUUUUGGAUUAAGAUGUCUGGUUAUCAAAGGGAUAAUAUUUAACAUAAUAUCAACUCAAAGAAUUUGGUCUGGAUAAGAUAAUAUGGGAGCUUUAAAAACAAAAUGGAAAAAAGAAGAUUUUUAUUUUUUGCAGAUCUUAUUUUAGUGUCUUUUGUAUAUAACUAAUAAAACAAUUGUGUUUUCUGAGAUACAUAUUUUGUACGUCAUACGGCAAGCCUGCAAUUUCUCUGUUGAACUUUUCUAAGAAAACUUUGUUAUGUCUUUCCAAGUAUUGUAGUUAAAAUAAAAUAAUGUAUUUAUCAUAUAAUCAACCUCUGUAGCCAUUGUGUACUUCUACUCCCAUACUCAAGCAGGUGUUCAAGAUGGAAUUACAGAAAAAAAUAAUUUAUUCAUGAUGAUGUCACUGUUUAUAAUGGUACAAG